rnacentral:tRNA from 1 species
GCCCCAUUGGCGGAACUGGUAGACGCGCUCGACUCAAAAUCGAGUUCCGAAAGGAGUGCUGGUUCGAUCCCGGCAUGGGGCACCA